rnacentral:rRNA from 1 species
UGGGGAAUUUUGGACAAUGGGCGAAAGCCUGAUCCAGCAAUGCCGCGUGUGUGAAGAAGGCCUUCGGGUUGUAAAGCACUUUUGUUCGGGAAGAAAAGGACUGGGCUAAUAUCCUGGUCUGAUGACGGUACCGGAAGAAUAAGCACCGGCUAACUACGUGCCAGCAGCCGCGGUAAUACGUAGGGUGCAAGCGUUAAUCGGAAUUACUGGGCGUAAAGCGUGCGCAGGCGGUUUGUUAAGACAGAUGUGAAAUCCCCGGGCUUAACCUGGGAACUGCAUUUGUGACUGGCAAGCUAGAGUAUGGCAGAGGGGGGUGGAAUUCCGCGUGUAGCAGUGAAAUGCGUAGAUAUGCGGAGGAACACCGAUGGCGAAGGCAGCCCCCUGGGCCAAUACUGACGCUCAUGCACGAAAGCGUGGGGAGCAAACAGGAUUAGAUACCCCCGUAGUCC